UACAGAGGUCUCAAGCGUUGUUCGGAUUCAUUGGGCGUAAAGGGUGCGUAGGUGGCGGGGUAAGUCUGGUGUGAAAUCUCGGGGCUCAACCCCGAAACUGCACUGGAUACUGCCUUGCUCGAGUACUGGAGAGGAGAUUGGAAUUUACGGUGUAGCAGUGAAACGCGUAGAUAUCGUAAGGAAGACCAGUGGCGAAGGCGAAUCUCUGGACAGUUACUGACACUGAGGCACGAAGGCCAGGGGAGCAAACGGG
rnacentral:rRNA from 1 species